rnacentral:misc_RNA from 1 species
GAUGAAGAACGUAGCGAAAUGCGAUAAGUAAUGUGAAUUGCAGAAUUCAGUGAAUCAUCGAAUUUUUGAACGCACCUUGCGCCCCUUGGUAUUCCGAGGAGCAUGCCUGUUUGAGUGUCAGUAAAUUCUCAAACCCUUCCAGCUUUUUGUAGUUGGCUCUGGGUCUUGGAUGUGGAGGUGUUGCAGGCCUUUUUGAGGUCAGCUCCCCUGAAAUGCAUUAGCAGAACCGUUUACAAUCCAUCACAGGUGUGAUAAUUAUCUACGCCAGUGGGUUGCUCUCUGUCACUGUUCAGCUUACAAUUGUCCCAUUCUUGUGGACCAACUAUUGCUGAUUCUUUGACCUCAAAUCAGGUAGGACUACCCGCUGAACUUAAGCAUAUCAAUAAGCGGAGGA